CCUACGGGUGGCAGCAGUGAGGAAUAUUGGUCAAUGGCCGAGAGGCUGGACCAGCCAAGUCGCGUGAGGGAAGACGGCUCUACGGGUUGUAAAUCUCUUUUGUCGGGGAGCAAAGCGAACUAUGUGUGGUCCAUUGAGAGUACCCGAAGAAAAAGCAUGGGCUAACCCCGUGCCAGCAGCCGCGGUAAUACGGAGGAUCCGAGCGUUAUCCGGAUUUAUUGGGUGUAAAGGGAGCGUAGAUGGGUUGUUAAGUCAGUUGGGAAAGAUUGCAGCUCAACCGUAAAAUUGCAAUUGAUACUGGCAGCCUUGAGUACAGUUGAGGUAGGCGGAAUUCGUGGUGUAGCGGUAAAAUGCUUAGAUAUCACGAAGAACUCCGAUUGCGAAGGCAGCUUGCUAAACUGCCACUGACAUUGAUGCUCGAAAGUGUGGGUAUCAAACAGGAUUAGAUACCCGGGUAGUC
rnacentral:rRNA from 1 species